CCACGUGUGGGUGUUUGUAUGUACCGUAUGAAUAAGGAUCGGCUAACUCCGUGCCAGCAGCCGCGGUAAUACGGAGGAUCCGAGCGUUAUCCGGAUUUAUUGGGUUUAAAGGGAGCGUAGGCGGGCUUUUAAGUCAGUUGUGAAAGUUUGCGGCUCAACCGUAAAAUUGCAGUUGAUACUGGAAGCCUUGAGUACAGUAGAGGCAGGCGGAAUUCGUGGUGUAGCGGUGAAAUGCUUAGAUA
rnacentral:rRNA from 1 species